AACGAACGCUGGCGGCAGGCUUAACACAUGCAAGUCGAACGCGUGCAGCAAUGCACGAGUGGCGCACGGGUGAGUAACGAGUGGAUAUCUGCCUUUUGGUUCGGAAUAACCCCGGGAAACUGGGGCUAAUACCGGAUGGUUCCUACGGGAUAAAGAUUUAUCGCCAAAAGAUGAGUCCGCGUCCGAAUAGCUAGUUGGUGAGGUAAUGGCUCACCAAGGCGACGAUCGGUAGCUGGUCUGAGAGGACGAUCAGCCACACUGGGACUGAGACACGGCCCAGACUCCUACGGGAGGCAGCAGUGGGGAAUAUUGGACAAUGGGGGCAACCCUGAUCCAGCCAUGCCGCGUGAGUGAUGAAGGCCUUCGGGUUGUAAAGCUCUUUUGGCGGGGACGAUGAUGACGGUACCCGCAGAAUAAGCCCCGGCUAACUUCGUG
rnacentral:rRNA from 1 species